rnacentral:rRNA from 1 species
AAACUUUCAACAACGGAUCUCUUGGUUCUGGCAUCGAUGAAGAACGCAGCGAAAUGCGAUAAGUAAUGUGAAUUGCAGAAUUUAGUGAAUCAUCGAAUCUUUGAACGCACAUUGCGCCCAUUGGUAUUCCGAUGGGCAUGCACGUUCGAGCGUCAUU